GGUUUUGUGGGCAAUAAAAGAAAUCAAACAGUGCAUUAAUUUUAUAUGAAUACGUGCAUGAAGGAGGCUUUUUCUACGUGUCUAAAUUUGAAACAUAAAUUCUAUGUUGAUACGUGACUAGGGGCAAGCAGUAGCCUCCAAGUAAAACUCUAGUAUAAAUAGAAGUUCAAGGCUUCAGCUUCAAACUGCUUAAACCUUUCCUCUAUGUUGCUCUCUCACACUAUAUUCUUUUUGGUUUAGUAAUUCACCCCUAAAUCCUACAAAGCCCUGCCCUAUUUUAAGUAUUGUAACCCCCGAUCACCGAUACCCUGUCCGACUGACGUAGGGCCCCGUAACGUAUGGCAAGGCUCUGCCUAAAUUCGUUGGGGUUCUGUCUCGUGACGUAGGGAUAACAUGAAAUUGGAUUACCAUACUUAAUGUGAGUGCACUAUAUAUUUUAUUAAAUAACCCAGGAGUGAUACCCGAAAUAUAACAACUCUCCAAAAACACCUCUGAUACCCUACACUUCCUAAAAUACACCCCGUAUGUGAAAACCGAGCCCGGAAUACAAUAUAGCAUUUAAAAUAAAUUAAAAACAAGAAAAUAUAAGUUUACGCGGGCCGCGUAAAGAUCCUCGCUUAGUUAACGCGGGCCGCGAGAGGUUAGAAAGGUGGCGCAGCCCUGGGCCGCCACGUGGCAACACCCGUCAAGCCUAUACCUCAACUCAGCAUAGCUAUACGUUGACUUUGGGUCAACGCGGGCCGCGUAAGACCUGUUCUUAUUUGACGCGGGCCGCGAGAGAGUUCAGUAUCAGCCCUAUAAAUUGGAUCGUCGAGCCUUCAGUCCGAUCGUUCAUUUCUUUCUUUCUCUCUCUUAAUUUCUGAGUAGUAGAAGUAAUACCCGGGUAUAAUGCCCCCCUAAUUAGCGAAGCUCUGCCUCGUUACUAUAACCAGGGAAUCACAAAGGAAAGCCCUAUAAUAGCAAUGUAACUUAGUGUGAAGCCAAUAAAAGCCAGCUGGAGAGCACUGAAGGCUUGGGAAAGUGGCAAUAAAGUUACCUAAAAUAAAAUAGAUGUUUUUAUUAAACAAAAUAGGAUUUAUUCCUAUGAAAAUGUGUGUACUACAAACUUGGGUUUUACCCAUGUGUUUAAUAUUAUGAAAAUAUGGUGGUUUUACUCUGAUAAAAAUA